AACGAACGCUGGCGGCAGGCCUAACACAUGCAAGUCGAGCGCCCCGCAAGGGGAGCGGCGGACGGGUGAGUAACGCGUGGGAACGUACCCUUUGCUACGGAAUAGCCUCGGGAAACUGGGAGUAAUACCGUAUGUGCCCUUCGGGGGAAAGAUUUAUCGGCAAAGGAUCGGCCCGCGUUGGAUUAGGUAGUUGGUGGGGUAAUGGCCUACCAAGCCGACGAUCCAUAGCUGGUUUGAGAGGAUGAUCAGCCACACUGGGACUGAGACACGGCCCAGACUCCUACGGGAGGCAGCAGUGGGGAAUCUUAGACAAUGGGCGCAAGCCUGAUCUAGCCAUGCCGCGUGAGCGAUGAAGGCCUUAGGGUUGUAAAGCUCUUUCAGUGGGGAAGAUAAUGACUGUACCCACAGAAGAAGCCCCGGCUAACUCCGUGCCAGCCGCCGCCGUAA
rnacentral:rRNA from 1 species